rnacentral:tRNA from 1 species
CCGGAGGGCUAGUAGCUCAGUUGGUUAGAGCGCGCGCUUGAUAAGCGUGAGGUCGGAGGUUCAAGUCCUCCCAGGCCCACCAAUUUAUGAUAAAAAAAUGCUGAUAAUUAAGUUUGUUACUGAUAAGUUUUUUUUUAAAAAAUUAAUUUGUGAAUGUUUUUUGAUGGUCUUUUAUCUUACAAUAUAAUAAAAAAUUUAAAUAAAAUAAUUACUUUCAUUUAUAACUUUUAUUUAAAAAAAAAAAAAUAUAUAAUUAAAUUUUGUUGCAAUAAUUUUAUUAUAUAAAUUAAAUUAAAAUAUUUUCUUUCAAAAGUAAAUUUGAACAUAAUUGUUUUAGGGGCCGUAGCUCAGCUGGGAGAGCACCUGCUUUGCAAGCAGGGGGUCGUCGGUUCGAUCCCGUCCGGCUCCACCAUCUUUGGUUAUCAUCAUCGUUAAAGAACAAUGUUUGCAAUAGAUCUGUAGAUCUUAAGUCUAUCAUCUAUUGCCUGUUCUAUUGAAAUUGUG